UCUCGAUAAAGGCAAACCUGGUGAAAACCAGCGACGCAAAGCUACAGGGGCUACAGCGACAAGGUGCGCUAUGCCAGCCAGCUACCGAA
rnacentral:ncRNA from 1 species